GACCGCGUAGCUCAGUUGGCAGAGCAUUUUGCUAGUAUUCCAAAGGUCGUAGGUUCGAUUCCCACCGUGGUCA